rnacentral:lncRNA from 1 species
AAACCUGCUCAUCAUUAUUUGAUCAUUCAUUCCCAAGCAAACCAUAGUAUAAAAAGGCCAAACCUUUAUUGGGUGCAGCUUCGGGAAGACCAAAAUCGGUGGCGAACAUUGACCAGAGACUCCGAGAGCAUCGUUUAGAAGAAGAAGAAGAAGAAGAAGAAGAAGAAGCAACCCAAAAGCCAAAGUCUUCAAAAUUUGAAGUUGUAUGAGCAAUUAAUCCGAAACCCGGUCACUCUUGUUUAUAUAAGCAUGUAUUUGUACAAGCUUCAGAGUUGACAGAUCUCUAAUCUCUUCCAGGUGAGAGAGCUUCCAGUCAUUUAAUAGCUUUACCAUUCUUGAAAUUCUUGUGCUUUUGCUUUGAAUUCAAUGUUGGUUGUCUCCCUGGCUAAUUUGUUCUGGGUAUCUUCUGAAUUGCCUUGUUGUGAUCACAAACUGGUUAUAGUGCUUGGUUGUUUAAUGGGUCAUCAUCAUCUUGAUUAUUCAUCAUUGAGAUCUUUAACGUUUAAUGUCAUUAUCCAUCCAGUGCCACACUGUAUUUUUGAUUAAUCAUAGUCAUACUCUUGAACUGUGGAUGAAGUUGUGAAUGAUCAUUUGCUUGUACUGUUUGGUAAUGCUUUACCUGAAACUGGUUUAUGAUCUCCAUUUCCACAAUGGGGGUCACAAGGCCACUGUGAUUGCGAUUCUGCUUUCCUUUCAAAGAAGAGAUCUUCUUAUACUAUGUACUCGUUUCUACUGCAUCAAUAUGCAUUGUGUAGCUGAUAUCAUUUGAUAUGUUGUUCAUCUAUUGAGUACCAGACUAUGCUAACUUGUGAAGAUGCACUUUAUUCACUUAGGUACCGGAAGUUUUUAUCGGGAAUUUUAAUUCAUAGCCAAAGUGUAUGGAACAUGUUUAUGCCAACAAUUAGAAACUAUAAUCUCUCCACUGUCAUGUUCUGACAUUUUUUUUUGAAUUACUUUCCGAAUACGUACUAAGCCAAUUUGUGCUGGAAUUUUCAGUAUUCAUACAUUGGGUAGCAAAAUGCACGGUCUUGGAAAGAAAUCAUCUGUUCAGGAGUCUGGAAAAUCUCGUUACUCAACUCCUCUGUCAAAGCUAUUAUCAUCACCAAAAUUUAAGAAAAGCGGCAAGGUUUCCCAUGUUAAAAAGGUAAAACCAAAAUCCAAGACAACGAUUGCAUCAUCCUUGUUGAAGAGAAGAAAUGCUGACUCAUCAAGGAAGGGAACAAAGAAUAAUGAUACAAGUAAGAAAUUGACAAGUAGAAAAGGACUGCAUAAAGCACGUGAUGCGGAUAAUUCAAACA